CGCGCUCCGUCGCCGAAUCCGGCGUGUGGGAAACAACUGCACUCAUGGAACCGGGGAACCACCACUUGGGGUGAAUCGGGCAGCCGGCGGCCACCCGCGGCCGGUCACUCGUAGGAGACCUUCCUGCUCCGAACCCGUCAGCUAACCCGGUAGGCGAGAGGAAGGAAAGG
rfam:Streptomyces sp. SCSIO 03032, complete genome.